rnacentral:rRNA from 1 species
UUGUGGUUCAUUUCAGACGUUAAAUGGUUAAUUGUAGAAAAACUAGAGCUAAUACAUGCCAAAGCCUCACGGUUGUAUUUAUUAGAUAUCCCAAUUAGGUGAAUCAUAAUAACUUCGCAAAUCUCGGUUUUGCCGAGAUAAAUCAUCCAAGUUUCUGCCCUAUCAUGCUUUCGAUGGUAGUGUAUUGGACUACCAUGGCUUUCACGGGUAACAGGGAACCCCCCCCCCGAUUCUGGAGAAGGAGCCUGAGACCCGUUUUUCUACAUCUACGGAAGGGCGCCGGCGCGUAAAUUGCCCAAUCCUGACUCAGGGAGGUGGUGACAAGAUAUAACAACGCAAUUUCAUUGUGAUUGUAGUGAGGGUAUUCCAAACCGAACCACUAGUACGAUUAGAGGGCAAGUCUGGUGCCAGCAGCCGCGGUAAUUCCAGCUCUAAUAGCGUAUAUUAAAGUUGCUGCAGUUAAAAGCUCGUAGUUGGAUUUCAGGGAUUGUGUACUCUCUCAGAGUAUGCACCCUACUAGUCUUUGACUUGUUACUGUGAGAAAUUAGAGUGGUUUAAAGCAGGCU